GCCUACGGGGGGCAGCAGUAGGGAAUCUUCCACAAUGGACGCAAGUCUGAUGGAGCAACGCCGCGUGAGUGAAGAAGGUUUUCGGAUCGUAAAGCUCUGUUGUUGGUGAAGAAGGAUAGAGGUAGUAACUGGCCUUUAUUUGACGGUAAUCAACCAGAAAGUCACGGCUAACUACGUGCCAGCAGCCGCGGUAAUACGUAGGUGGCAAGCGUUGUCCGGAUUUAUUGGGCGUAAAGCGAGCGCAGGCGGAAGAAUAAGUCUGAUGUGAAAGCCCUCGGCUUAACCGAGGAACUGCAUCGGAAACU
rnacentral:rRNA from 1 species